GGCUCAACCUGGGAACUGCAUUCGAAACUGGCAGGCUUGAGUCUUGUAGAGGGGGGUAGAAUUCCAGGUGUAGCGGUGAAAUGCGUAGAGAUCUGGAGGAAUACCGGUGGCGAAGGCGGCCCCCUGGACAAAGACUGACGCUCAGGUGCGAAAGCGUGGGGAGCAAACAGGAUUAGAUACCCUGGUAGUCCACGCCGUAAACGAUGUCUACUUGGAGGUUGUGCCCUUGAGGCGUGGCUUCCGGAGCUAACGCGUUAAGUAGACCGCCUGGGGAGUACGGCCGCAAGGUUAAAACUCAAAUGAAUUGACGGGGGCCCGCACAAGCGGUGGAGCAUGUGGUUUAAUUCGAUGCAACGCGAAGAACCUUACCUGGUCUUGACAUCCACAGAACUUUCCAGAGAUGGAUUGGUGCCUUCGGGAACUGUGAGACAGGUGCUGCAUGGCUGUCGUCAGCUCGUGUUGUGAAAUGUUGGGUUAAGUCCCGCAACGAGCGCAAC
rnacentral:rRNA from 1 species